GUGGGAGGGGGCUUGCCCCCGAUGGCAGUGUGUCAGUCAGUACAUCUGUCACUGACACUCCGCCAUCGGGGGCAAGCCCCCUCCCAC
rnacentral:misc_RNA from 1 species